rnacentral:rRNA from 1 species
CCUACGGGUGGCAGCAGUGAGGAAUAUUGGUCAAUGGACGAGAGUCUGAACCAGCCAAGUAGCGUGAAGGAUGACUGCCCUAUGGGUUGUAAACUUCUUUUAUAUGGGAAUAAAACGUUCCACGUGUGGGAUUUUGUAUGUACCAUAUGAAUAAGGAUCGGCUAAUUCCGUUCCAGCAGCCGCGGUAAUACGGAGGAUCCGAGCGUUAUCCGGAUUUAUUGGGGUGAAAGGGAGCGUAGGUGGAUUGUUAAGUCAGUUGUGAAAGUUUGCGGCUCAACCGUAAAAUUGCAGUUGAAACUGGCAGUCUUGAGUACAGUAGAGGUGGGCGGAAGUCGUGGUGUAGCGGUGAAAUGCUUAGAUAUCACGAAGAACUCCGAGUGCGAAGGCAGUUCACUGGACUGCAACUGACACUGAGGCUCGAAAGUGUGGGUAUCAAACAGGAUUAGAUACCCGAGUAGUC